rnacentral:rRNA from 1 species
UACGUAGGUUCCGAGCGUUGUCCGGAGUUACUGGGCGUAAAGCGCGCGCAGGCGGCGGUGUUGGCCCGGCGUGAAAGCCCCCGGCUCAACCGGGGAGGGUCGUCGGGGACCGCACCGCUUGAGGGCGGUAGGGGCUGGUGGAAUGCCUGGUGUAGUGGUGAAAUGCGUAGAGAUCAGGCGGAACACCCGUGGCGAAGGCGGCCAGCUGGGCCGUCCCUGACGCUGAGGCGCGAAGGCGUGGGGAGCGAACGGG